UGGGCUAUCCCUCCCAUUACAUGCAGCUGAAGGCACGAUGCUUACUAGGGAAAGUGGUCAUCCUAAAUUUUACACUAUCAUCCAUUAGAAAUUAGAACAAGUGCGCAAGGUCCCAAAUAAUUGGGCUGUUUGUUGAUGUUUGGACUGCUUGGUUAAAAAGCUAAAGUAUCAAGGAAGACGAAAGAGCAUUUGAAGACAUGUUUAAUUGGAUUUUUGCUGUUAUUUGCUGCUGUAUAGACUAUUGUUGUUGCUGAUG